UACGUAGGGGGCGAGCGUUGUCCGGAUUUAUUGGGCGUAAAGAGCGUGUAGGCGGCCAGGUAGGUCUGCUGUGAAAACUCGAGGCUCAACCUCGAGACGUCGGCGGAAACCAUCUGGCUAGAGUACGGAAGAGGCGAGUGGAAUUCCUGGUGUAGCGGUGAAAUGCGCAGAUAUCAGGAGGAACACCAAUUGCGAAGGCAGCUCGCUGGGACGUUACUGACGCUGAGACGCGAAAGCGUGGGGAGCAAACAGG
rnacentral:rRNA from 1 species